GCGUGGGGCGUGGGCCCUGGCCGGGGCCGGGUCUGGCGGGCGGCCUGCUCCCGCCGGGCGGAGGGGCGCGCCCUGCGUGCGGGGCCGAGGCGCCUGCGCCCCACUUUUGGCUUCCCGCAGUCACUGGCUGGUGCGCCGACAAACUGGGAGUUCCAGCGUGCCCCGCGUUUACUCCGAAUCGUGCCUUUUCUAACACCUCCGUGGGUCGCGGUGUUCCUCAGUCACUUACAUUUACGUGAGCGCCCAGGACGCAGUCUGGGCGUAGAGCCUAAAGUUUUUCUGUGAGCGUCAAUUUGCUUAGGAAGUUUGAUUUUUUUCUCUGAAGAACUCUCCAACUACUUGUAUUGUAAGCGUGCGGUUCACGCCAAAGGCAGUGCCUCGUGUGCGGGCCACGAUGUGGGCCGGGCUUGGCAUUUCAGGGCCAACCCUUGUAACUAUGGUCAGGGGUACAGUCCGGCCUUCAGUGCCUUCACCUGUAAAGGCGGAAUCCUGGUGCUUGCCUCCCACGGCGGGGUGAGGCCUAGAGGAGAUCUCAAUAGCAGGUUUUCUAGAGGUUGUAAGACUCACCAAACUAACAUGUCGUGGAAAGGAUAUCUACAGUAAAGCUGUCGAUGACAUUGUCAGGUAAAAGAUACAGGUUGGUGCCUUUAUGAGUGGUAGAAGAGGAAAAGAACCUUUAUCUAAAUUAUUUUAAUAUAUCAACCAUAAAGAGAUAUAAAUUGUUUUCCGAUGCUUCCAGUAUUUUAAAAAUAGGAGUUCAUAUUGGUAUUUUCAGGGGCUCUUUUGACACUACUUUUGGUUACCUAAAGGCUCAAGAAUAUUUUUGUUAUGUUUGAGACAGGGUCUUGCUCUGUCGCCCAGGCUGGGGUGCAGUGGCACAAUGAUAGCAUAUUGCAGCCUUGAACUUCUGGGCUCACCUAGCCUUAUACCUCAGCCUCCGAGUAGCUGGGGCUGCAGGUGUGAGCCACCGCCACAUCCAUGUUUUCUGUUUCUAUUCAGAGUGAACACAUCAUGCACCCUUGGUCUUUGCAACCAUCGAUUCCUAACAAUCUGGAGGUAAACGUCAGAAAAGUUUUUAAGUGUUUCUCUUAGCUGUCUUAGCAGUUUGCUAUACAGCAGUUUGUUAGGAUUGCUUCUUUUGUUUGUGCAAGACUUUUAAUACUUAACAACUUUUAAUCCUGAAGCUGUGUUUGACUGUAACAUAAAAUAUUAAAGAUGAGCUGAUGGUGAAAUCCUCAAGUGUGGAGAAAGUUUCUUAGCUUUAUAGCUUUAUGGAAACAAGUACAUUGUAUUUUUUCAUUCAGAUGAAUGAACUUUUAUUGAACAUUCAUUAAAUGCUAGACACUGGGCAAGCAAGGACUUAAUAGAAUGACAACAGUAAUUUUCCAUAGAGCUUGAUACGGUAUUGGUACCUUCCUGGCAAUAUCCCAAAGCAUUUGUUGGCUUUCAUUAAUCCUUUCAGUUAUUCAUCAAUCAGUGCAUCAGUGAACAUACUGCUGAGCAGAUAGAGGAGAAUUUGCUUAGAGUGAUCAGAUUUUUAUUGCUGGUGUUGCUGUAUAACUCUCCUCUGCCAAAGGCUGAAAAGUAGUAUCAGUCAUUGAGACAUAAUUAUGCUCAGUGUAUAAUGGACUACAAAAUAAUCCUAAGUUAUUUGAAUGUCCUUUUUACAUGUAUGUAUUUAUAACUUAUACCCCACCUAUUCACAGAAAGAAUUUCUGAUGUAUUUCAGUUGUACAUUUCACAAAAAUGCACAUGCCAAGAUAAUAACUAUUAUUAAAAAUACUGUUCUUAAGGUUUUAGUUUUUGUUUUGGAUAAAUCGUAUACAUGUAUCUGUGUGUAAACAUAUAUCUGUGUUACCAUAUCCUGGGGUUCCUUUCCCAACUUGUAGCCAAUAGCCAGAAGUUCAGAAUUCUGCCUUCUCCGGACCCCAUUAUCAAUUUAGAAGCUACUUACCUAAGUAAAUCCACUUACAUUACAGCAUCUAUUUUUAAAAUGUAGUAAAAUUGCUGUGUAACACAAAGGCUUCUUGGAGAAUAAAACUUCAAAACCAGAUUUGAAUUAUAAAAAUUACUUCUUCACGGUGGCUCACACCUGGAAUCCCAGCACUUUGGGAGGCGGAGGCAGGUGGAUCACGAGGUCAGGAGUUCAAGACCAGCCUGGGCGAGAUGGUGAAACUCCAUCUGUACUAAAAAUACAAAAAUUAACCAGGCGUGGUGGUGGGUGCCUGUAAUCCCAGCUACUCAGGAGGCUGAGGCAGGAGAAUCGCUUGAAUUCGGCAGGGGGAGGGGUGGAGGUUGUAGUGAGCCAGGAUCAUGCCACCUCACUCCACCCUUGGCAACAGAGUGAGACUCUGUCUCAAAAAAAAAACUUCUUAAGCUUGUCAUCCCCACCCCCUUUAUUGGCCCUUUCUAUUUUAUCUUUUUCAUUAAUUUCUGCUUUUUAUUUCUCUAUUUUCUUUGGGCUCCUUUCUUUGUCUGACUUCUUAAAUUGGAUGCAGUAGCUCAUUGAGAUUUAGCUUUCUUUUCUGAUAUAAGCCCUUGAGGGAUACUUGCUAUAUCCCACAAGUUUUGGUAUGUGUAGGAUUUUGUUUGUUCGUUUUUAAAGAAACAGGGUCUCGCUCUGUCUCCCAGGGUAGGUUUAAGUGACCCUCCCACCUCAGCCUCCCAAGCAGCCAGGACUAUAGGCAUAUAAGCAUCUACUACGACACCUACCUAAUUAAAAAAUUUUUUUUGUAAAGGCCAAGGUCUUACUGUGUUGCCAGGUAGGUGUAGAACUCCUAUUUUUUAAAAUACUCAUGCUUUCUUUUUUAACCAGGAGUUAUUUAGAAGUAUGUUUUUAAUUUCUAAAUAUUAGAGAUUUAUAAUUUUUUUAUUGUUACUGACUUUAAUGAAUUGCAGUCAUAGAUGGUGGUCUGGAAGAAAAUAGUUAAGAUUUGCUUUAUGGCCUAGUAUAAGUCAGUUUUUCCAUUUGUGCUUGUGGAAGAAUAUGUAUUCCCUAAUUGUUAGGUGUAAAAGUAAAAUCAAGUAUCUUAACUACUUUAUCUUUUAUAGCUAUCAAUAAGUAAGGAGGGUGUGUUGAAUUCCAUAGUGUCAGUUGCUCCCUAUAGUUCUGUCGAUUUUUGCUUUAUAUAUUUUCAGGCCAUUUUAUUAGUGGCACAGUCCAGCACAGUGGCUUACGCCUGCAGUCCCAGCACUUUGGGAGGCCAAGGCAGGAGGAUUGCUUGAGGCCAGGAGUUCUAGACCAGCCUGGGCAACAAAGGAAGACCAUGUAUCUUAA